GUACUUGCUUCUCCAGUACAUAUAUUAAAAUUAGAAUGAUAUAGAGAAGAUUAGCAAAGGCUUUGCGCAAAGAUGUUAACACAUGAAUGGCUAUUUCAAUAUUUUUU